CAAUGACCUGAAGAAAAGACAGUGUGUUAAGUCAGUAACUUUGUCCCCUGACUUCUGCUUCGGUGUGGCAGCGCGCUGGGUUUAUGGGACAGUGGCAGAGAGUAGGUUUCAUACGACAAGACACCUCGGUGUGCGCCAAGACAAACAAGGACAGGUCUUAGAAGAGCUGUGAGCCAAGGUUCAGGGACCAAGGACACCCGGGAUGUGUCUGAUGGCUGGCUGGAAGGCGCUAUGACAGCUAUGACAUCUCCUGUGGCUCAACUGCUAGAACAGCCAGGCAGCCGCAUGGGGAAAAAAGGCGGAGAGCAAUGAGAGUGCUCGGCUCUGGACAGAGUAAACUCUAAGCUGCACGGUGAGGUGUGAGCUUGGCGCUUGUGACAGGACUUCCGCCUGGCUGUACUGUAAGAGAGGAGCCUCUCUGGAGGAGAAGAAUGGAGUCAGGAAGAAUGCUCAGCCUGGACCUUCCUGCUUAACCCAACCAGUGCCUAGAUAGUCAGAGACUUUCAGCCCAGCAUUUUUUUUUUUUUUGAUUUUGUUUUUUUGUUUUUCCGAGACAGGGUUUCUCUGUGUAGCCCUGGCUGUCCUGGAGCUCACUCUAUAGACCAGGCUGGCCUCCAACUCAGAAAUCUGCCUGCCUCUGCCUCCCAGAGUGGCAGCCCAGCAUUUUUAAGGACUCACGUUAUUCAUCCAGGAAAUAUAAGCAGAGACGCGGGUGAAGACUGUGGGCUUCCGGGAGA